AUGGCCCCGGGACACCCCCACCCCGCAUGGGGGCCCCACAGUGCCUCUCCCCGGGUGCCCUGCUUCCCCGCCCUGCAGCCCAGGGAGCUCCUUCUCCUCCUGUACAGCCCCUCCAAGGACACCUCCUUUGUGAAGCCCUCCCUGAUGCGCCCAGGCCCUUCCCACCUGGGCUGCCCCGCACACUCACACACUCACACACACACACUCACACACACACACACGGCGUCCAGCGCCCACCGUGCCUCCACUCGCUGCAGCUGCAGCCCCAGGGAGGAGCAACGCAGGGUCCCAGCAGCGGCGGUGGCACCUGUCAUCACGAUUCUGAACACAAUCAGGAAGGACAAAUGUGGUGACCUCCCCGCCGGGCGCCAGCCGGUGGGCUGGUACCGUUUCUGGAGGCUUUUCCUCGGCUCUCAGGCCUGCCCAAUAACGCUGCCCCGCGAUGCCCCCGGUGCAGCCUCGGUGAGGAAGGCGGCAGCCGGCGCUGGAAGUGACAGAGGGGACACGGGGCACACAGCGUGCCACGGGGAAGGGGACAGAUGGCCUCAUACCCGCAGGGAAGGAAAACAAGGUAACGACGGCGGAGGGCAGAUCACACGGAGCUGUGGCCCCGCUCACCAGAAGGGGACAUGUACCCCCAACACCGCAGCGGCGGGCGGAGGAGGAGGCCGCGCGGGUCCUGGAGGCCGCCGGCUGCGGUCCAUUUGCUCGGGGCCGGUUUGGGAGAGAUUCUGGGCGUCACAGGUCCCCAGCGGGUGGGCGGCGAGGGUGAUCCAUGCAGGUGGCAGCUGUGUCCUGACGGAACAGUCCCCCACCCCCACGCCGCCGUCCGUGCAGGCCAGGGGCCCGGAGCGGGGGCCCAGCGUGGCACUGCCCUCACCAGGGAGCCCGCCGUCCCCCCGAGCUCGGCCUGGACGCCCACCGAGGCCUGCGGAAGUCCACCCGGCGUCCGGGAGCUCGGGAACUCCGCUCAGUGAGGCCAGCGGGGCCCGUGUGGGACCCCGAGACCCCAGAGGCGACAGUGCUGCCCGAGGAUGUGGCCGGGACGACAGCACUGCAGAGCACGGAGUCCACGUCGGGGCGCGGCCGCUGCCCUUCCGAGCCUCGGUGUCCCUCCCUGCAGAGCAAGAGGGCUGCGCCUCCGGAAGCUCCACGGUACGAUGCUCAGGCCCGAUUGGAGGUGAGGCACCUACAGCCCCGCGGGUCCCCGGGCUCAUGGGAGGCAGUGACAGGGCCGGGCAGGAGAGGAGCUGCACGUUUGCAGAAAGCGCAGCGGAGACGAGGGCACGUGAGGGGCGACGGGGGCGGGGGCAGGGACAGUGCAGGUUCCUCCGCGGUCUAUGCACCUGCAGGUCCCCCCGUCUGACUGUGGCUGAGCCCGAGCAGGGGCUGGGGGGCCACGAGGCCCUGGGCAAGGAGCGGCCGGUGCCCGUGUUCUGCAGUUCCAGAGGGGUGCGGACCCCAGACCCAGGACGGCGGGCGCGCUGGAGGCCCAGACCUCAGCCCCUCCAGGGAGGCAGACACGGACGAGGCAGGUGUCCACGCAUGAAGGAUGUGACAGCCAGGCCCGUGCAGCUUCUCGGAGGCGGCGUCCCUGGCCCAGCAGAGCGCCACCGUCGGGGGGCCACAGACCCCAGGGGCACAGGGGAUGCGGGGCUGUCCCUCCUCCUCCCGGCAGCCCUGGGCAGCCACCUGCCCCUCACUGUCCCCGGGUCGCCGUGUCCGUCGUGCUUGUACGCCCAGCAGAGAAGGGCCAGGGAGGCCCAAGCGAGCUGAGCCGCGCCCGUCCCUCCGCUUCACGGCGGGUGCGCUCACGCCUCAGCCUGGCAGGGGCUGCGGGACGCACGGGGACAUCGCGCUGUGUCCCCGCCAGCCCGUCCCUGCCACUGCGGCCCCGCACCAGGCCCCAGCCCGGCGCCCAGGCCUCCCCGGGACCUGAGCCCCUCCAGGUGCCAGCACUGCCCUCCCCGCGCCUCGGAAGGUGCCCCUGAGAUAAAGGAGGGCGACGCUUUGAGCACCAGAGCCCGGAAGCAGGCGGAGGGGUCCCCGCGUCCCUGGCCUGGCAUCGGGGCGCAGCAAAUCCGUCCAGGGCUUGAUGAAAGAGACAGCGCCACAGGGGCCAGGGGAUCCCACACAGCUCCGCGCUUCUCUCUGAAAAUGUGUUGUUUCUGUAGAAAUAAAUACAAGGGGAGAAGACA
rnacentral:lncRNA from 12 species